rnacentral:rRNA from 1 species
AAGCCACCCUCAAGAUAAGAUUUCCCACCGUAAGGGUAAGACCCCAGGAAGACUACCUGGUAGAUAGGUCCAAGGUGUAAGCUCAGUAAUGAGUUCAGCUGAUGGAUACUAAUAGGUCGAGGACUUGACCA